rnacentral:snRNA from 1 species
GUACUUGAUUUCGCAGUACGUAUACUAAAAUGGGAUCAAUUCAAAGAAGAUUAGAGUGGCCCGUUUGCAAGGAUGACUCUUGUAAAACAAAGUCUACUGCAGUCGCC